GUCGUGCAGUACCUCCUCGUCGCCCCAGUUUCAGCUGAAUCAGGAUGAAAGCUGAAUAGAUAAUGGUUGAGAUGGAAAAUGAAAGCUGCAUGAUCGGUAGCUGGCUUCCUCUAAAUCCAAGCUCGAGAACCCUAUUGUCAAGCUCUUGACUGAAGAUUUUGGCUCUAGAUCGUUACCAACUUUCUUGGUAGAGAAUGGAAAUUUGGGGCUUUCAUGGAACCCUAGAAACCAAACGGUGGGUGUGAGCUCAAAAACAGAAGGUGAGGUUGGAGCCAUUUUCUCUACAAUAUGAACCUUCUUGGGCUCAAAAACGAGUGUCCAAUUCCAAUCAAAAGUGCAAUCCUACAAAGUUUGUGACAGGGGACUGUGGUGGAUCUACCAGCAAAUAUCGCACUCUUAUUGCUGAUACACAGUGGUAGGUGUUUUGUCCAAGUCUCAAGCCAACAAUCCUUUUUGAUCAGUAUAUCUAGUAGAAGUAAGCAUGCAGAUCGUUGUCUUUGAGGCCGACUAGCUAUUUUGUGCUUUUUUUUGUUUUAAAUUCGAAUG